CGGCAUUCUUGUAUAUACUGCAUUUUCACUAUCAAAUUGUGUUUAGGCCCUCUAACUGGCCUCAGUUCUUUGAGAAACUAGGAAAGAUGAUCUAGCAAACCAGUCUAUUAAACAAAACUCUUCUUGUUUAAGAAACUUCUCUGGCAAAUUUUCCUCAAAUGCUGAAUCAACAAUUUCUCACUGACAGAUUUUAAAUUCGGAAAUGUGCUCCGAAUUUUACAAUUCCAACCAACGACUGUAAUAUUUGAGACAACUCAUUGUUUUUCAAGUUGUACACUUAAGACUGGGAAAUAAAAUUAUUAAGUCUGUACAUUAGCACUGAGAGUGAGGGCUAAAGUUUAAUCCACUCUUUUGCGCAGAAUGAUGUACAUAAUUCCAGUGAAGAGGGUCAGCAGCCACCCGAACCAGGCCAUGACGUAGGACCAGCCAUACCAGCCAUUCUUCUCACCUCUGUGAAAGUGAUCGCUGUAGACUGACAGAGCCACCAUAAUGCAGAAACCUAGAGAUUUACUGAAGCAGGGACUUACAGGAGAUGAGCUGCAGGACCCCAGAGAUGGUGAACCGCUUUCCUUUGCCCAGAGUAAAGAGCUGGAACAUGAACACGCACAGAGAGAACACAGCAAACAGGCAGGACAGAACUGCAA